rnacentral:rRNA from 1 species
GAUGAACGCUGGCGGCGUGCCUAAUACAUGCAAGUCGAGCGAACAGACGAGGAGCUUGCUCCUCUGACGUUAGCGGCGGACGGGUGAGUAACACGUGGAUAACCUACCUAUAAGACUGGGAUAACUUCGGGGAACCGGAGCUGAUACCGGAUAAUAUAUUGAACCGCAUGGUUCAAUAGUGAAAGACGGUUUUGCUGUCACUUAUAGAUGGAUCCGCGCCGCAUUAGCUAGUUGGUAAGGUAACGGCUUACCAAGGCAACGAUGCGUAGCCGACCUGAGAGGGUGAUCGGCCACACUGGAACUGAGACACGGUCCAGACUCCUACGGGAGGCAGCAGUAGGGAAUCUUCCGCAAUGGGCGAAAGCCUGACGGAGCAACGCCGCGUGAGUGAUGAAGGUCUUCGGAUCGUAAAACUCUGUUAUUAGGGAAGAACAAAUGUGUAAGUAACUAUGCACGUCUUGACGGUACCUAAUCAGAAAGCCACGGCUAACUACGUG